rnacentral:lncRNA from 1 species
AUAGAAAUAAUUUUUAGAUAAUAAGACAGAGCAUAAAUUUAUGCAGGGAUGAACUUGUAGGGUAUUCUGGAGAAGGGAAGGUUGUUAGCGUUUUUAGUGAGACUGAAGGCCUGUGUGAGCAGGCUCGCCCUUCACCUGUGCUCCUGCAGGAGUGUGAGGCUUAGCAGGAGGAGCAGGCUUGUGAAGCUGAUUCCCUGUGGUUGAUGAAGUCUCAGUAAAGCUGCUGGUGCCAUCAAAGAUCAUCUUUGGUUACUUACCCAAGUGAGGAAGCCUCUUCUGCUAGCUGCAUUCUUUUGUAUAUAUCCAGGAUAUGGGCAUCACAAGAUGCGGAUGGUUGCAAGAACUGUGGCAAGGUUAACGUAAGGUAGAUCCUCAAUAGAGAUUUGUUGACUGAUUGAAUGAAUGCAUAUUGUUGAAGUUAUUUCCAGUUUUUCACUAUUAAUCAUGUUUCUAAGAAUUCUUUUAUUUGUAGGAGGG